GGCUGAUUAGCUGCCCGGGUCGGUGGCGAGGUUCGGCGCAGUCGCUGGCUGUGCAGGGUGACGGUGGUGGUGUCUUUCCGCGAGCUCUUACAGUCUUGUUUAGCCUUCGCUCAGUCUGGAGCGUGUGGCACCGCAGGGUCAGUCGCGCAGAUUCAUAUAAUUAAGGCCAAGGAGGGGUCACCAAACUUUUUUGGUGUCUCCCCCUGGGAAGUAACGUGUGUCGUGCAGUUUGGAGAUGUGUACCGCUACGUCUGACAUCCCAGAUGCUGUUUGAGUACAUUUGGCGUCUGUGAGCAUUUUGGGGAGUUUUUGGUGAAUGGGAUAUUUCAUCUGGGUGGGUUUUGUGAGCCAUGGUACAAAGUCUGUAGGGAUUUGUGUCCUUGUAGACCUGGGUGUGCAUUUUCUGAGCUUUUGGGCAUUAGAGUCACUGGGUGUUAGACCCUUAUGUAGACGUCUGUACCCCAGCGUGUGAGGCCUUUGAACUGUUGUGAUUCUGGGUCCCAAGGUGUGAUGUCUCUGAGCUGCUUUAGGAAGGGGUUUGUCUAAAGGUGUAAAGUAUCUGAGCUGUUUGGGGUCUGUGUGUCAGUAGUAAAAUCUCUUACCAUUUUGGCUGUGAGGUCUCUGUCCAGGAACUGAGGGAGUUGGAAACCCGGCAGGUAUGAUUCCGAAGCCUGGAACCCGACGUGCUGAUGGUGCGUUGUUGAGGGUGUCACUUGUCUCCUGGAGUCUCAGUACGUAUCAUAAUCAGUCAAAUGGGGCCAGUGCCCACCUUGGAGGGUACCUGUGCAUGUUAACAGUGUGUGUAAAGGGCCCGGCUCCCAGCUAUGGUUCAGCAAAUGUUUUCUGAGCGCCUGCCAUGUACGUGAGUACUAUUCGAGGAGUUUGUGACAGGACAAAACUGACAAAGUCUCAUUUCAUAGAGUUGGUCAAUAAGUAAAUCAAGGGUGGCAGGUGCUAUGUAUGAAGAAAGAUAGGGCUGGACCAGGGGAAAGGGUAUGUGGAGAUGAUGUUAUUAUUUUAUUCAAGGUAAUCAGGGAAAGUCUCCCUGAAGGAUGACGAAUGAGCAGAGACCUGGAGGAAGUGAGGGAGCACGCCGUGGGAUUACCUGAAGGAAGAGCAUUCCAGGCAGAAGGAACAGCAGGUGCCACAGUCCUGGCGGGGCAGUCUACUUGGCGUGCUCCUGGAUAUCAAGGAGUCCUGUGAUGCACUGGGUCCAGCACGUAGCACUCAUUGAAAGGCCCCGGGUUUCUCAGGAGCUUCCCUGGUGGACAGCAUUUCACACGCGUUGUCAUGAUCCGUUGCCGGAGGGACAAAUUGCGUGAUUAUCUACUAGGAAAGGACUCUUGGAAGCUUGCGCUGGUUUCCUCCGGAUGUUGCCCAGUGCACCUCUCCCCCUGGAUGAUUUGGCUUUGUAUCCUUUUGCUGCAGUAAAUCUUAGCCAUGAGGAUGACUAUGUGCUAGGUCCUUGGGGUCCUCCUAGGAAUUCAUCAAAAGCAAGGGUGGUCUUGGGGCAUCUGAAACAGUGGUGGCAGCUGUGGAUUCACUAGCGAGACUGUGACUCGCUGAAAUACGGUGAAAGCCUUGUUUGAGUAAAGGGAGGAUGAAGCAGUAGGGAUGACGAUCUUUUUGUGCUCAUUGACUGUGGAUGUACCCGUGCUAUGAAACAGCAGCUGAGCCACUGACUGUUGUGAUAGGUGUUACUUACAGAAUUUGAAAACAAAAGAUCCAGAUCCAGGAGAGUUAGCGCACUGCAUCCUCGGCUGCUUCUGCUGUGCUGCCUGAUGCCUGGGGGGAAAGGAUGCAAACCUUACAAAAGGUGAACUCUGGGUCGGCCAAAAAAUGUUAAAAGUUUGACUUGCUCUCUCCUACAAGCGGAAGCAAGCAAGUAAAAUCAGGUUCUGGGCUGGAGAAAGCUUCAGAUAAACUAGAGGCAAGAAGGGGAAAAAGGUCUGCAGGCUUUUCUUCAACUUGGCGGCGGCGGCGGCGGCUGCGGCUGCGGCUGCUGCUGCUGCUGCUGCAGCAGCAGCAGCAGCCCCUCCCAGCACUCGCGCCCGAGCUCCCCGGCCGCUGUGCGGUACCCUGAUGAGGAAGCUUGAGACACGUAGAGGUUAACGGGUGAAGGAACUUGCCCAAAGUCACCUGGCCGGCAAGAAGUGAGUCAGAUUGCUACGCAGGCCUGAAAGAAACAGAGAGGUGUGGUAUCUGACCCCCAAAUCUGGAAUACACUGCAGUGUCCAGUGUCCUCUGGAUCAAAAGGCAAGUGAACAUGUCCAUCGGCAUGAAUCAGAUUACCAUGGAUCUGUGUAUGGAUUGAGCAUGAUGUCUCCUAAGUGCAUGAAAGACCACGGGGUGUCGUGUCAAUAUGCACACGUCACAGAGAACAGUUCCUGGUCCAUAUCAAGCUCUAUACAUGUCUUUGCUUCUACCGACAUCAGUAUCAGCAUCCUCAUCCUCAUCAUUAUGGGAAGUAGCAUAACCAUACUAUAAUGAUAAACAGAACAACAGACACAAAAGUAUGAAGACAUUACCUCCCCCCAUCUCCUAAUCUUUAAAAAUGCAGAGAAAAAACCUGGAAGGCAGUAGACUACAUAUUAAGUGUUUUUCUCUUGAGUGUGAAAUUCUAGAUAAUGCCCAAAUAACCUUUUUUUUUUUUUUGGCGGUACACGGGCCUCUCACUGUUGUGGCCUCUCCCGUUGCGGAGCACAGGCUCCGGAGGCACAGGCU